UCAGUUAACCUAAAAGGAGCAGGUGUGAUGCUUCAGCUCAUAACAAGGAUGUGAUUCCUGGCUGAACAAAGCCUGACAUGCUCCUAACUGGCUUGUUUACACCAGCAGCACAGCCAAGCUCUCCAGCUCCUCAGAUUAAUUGGGAGCUGCAGCCAGCAGGUAUCUGGUGUCACUGGAAAUUGCUGGGGGUUGAAUGACUGAAAAUGAAACUGAAUCUCUGCCUUAAGUGGGGUGACGCUGGGGAUGACAAGCAGCAGUGACACAGAUGUGCAAUGCAGUAAAUGCAGCACUUACCAGCCCUGUGUGCUAACUACCUGUUGUAACGUGGUAAAGCAGAGCUCCAGACCAAGCCAUGGCAGAUGUAAAACCCAAGCAGUGACCAAAGCAGCAGAAAUCAAGCUCAGGACUCCCCUGUUCCCUACAGAUGAAAGUAAAGGUCUACUUUCACCUUUCUGCAGACUCUUAGGUUCCUGGUUGCUACAUCUCUACAGAAGAAGGUUUAAAUUCCCUCAAGGUAUGAAAGCUCUGAAACACCUACCUCCAACUUCUUGUCCAAGUGCUUCAGCUACCAGACCCCACAGCCCUGUACUUGCUGUCUUUAGGCAAAUAUUCCUGAUGAGCUCCUGAUUGUCACCAGGCUGGUGUGCAGUGCCUCAUUUGGGGUGCAGGUCUGCUGGCAGGAGGUGUCUGCCCUCACACUGGCUCGUGAAAGAAUGAGGAUUUAGUACAAAAGGGGGGAUGGUGUUUUGCUCAGAGGACUGAGCCUUCUACUCUGCUCAAAAUUCAGUGCCUUGUUCAUGGUCUUGGGUGUUAGGGGAGGGAGAAACAAAGGCUGAAGCAACCCAGAGUGAUUAAGGAAGAGAAGCCUAUUGGGACAGUCUUGGGUAUAUGGAGGUAUCUUUAAAUACACAAAUCUGUCCCACUUAAAUCAAAGUUAAUCAGAAACUGAGAAUUUUUGUGACUGGGGAAAAAAUUAAGCACGCAGUCAAAUGUUUUCCUGAGUUAAAAUACUGACUGCUUUCCUUCAGUUAAAGAUGGAUAUCUUGGAGGAAACCAAACUUCCAGACUAUUUGUAGUGGAAUGUUUAAUGAGCAUGUAUAUCUUCAUGGAUAAAAUGGCACAAAUUAAGAUUAGUGACAAAACUGGGGAUGUAUUCCUACUUUCCACUUACACCACAGUUAUAGCUUGCAUUUCUAAAACCUCAUUUACUUGUGGCAGUAAUUUCUAAUAGUAAUUAGUAGUAGUUAAUUUAACAGCUGUACAUUAUUAAAUAAUUAGCCUGUAUAUAAGUUAUCAUAAUUUUCAUAUGGUGAGAUGUGAUUUUAAUGAGUUUUUCUACCCAUCUUCAUUACUGUAUGAUGUGGUUACUGCUUGCUGGAUGUUACUUUCCAAAGUGUGUAUAUUAAAUCUUGUCAUUCAAACAAAUGAAGUUUAUAAAAGGGAGUCUUAACACUG